UAUUUAUUGGGAUUUAUUAAAGUUUUGCGAACUUUUUCUUUGUAUUUAUUAGUAAGAAGCAAAUUUGAGUUGGAUGAAGCAGAAAAUAUUACUUUCGUGGAUGAAUACGGUGCCGAGGUGGACUCUGAUGUUUUCCCAAUUUUGGUCAGCCUAGAUGGGAUUCAAAAUAUCAUAUUCAAGCUAGAAGAAGAGUCGUCAGUAUUGGAAAUUGACCUAAGCUACAAUAAUACAUCGCAAUCAAGUUAUUUUUUACCUGCGGCAGGAAAUAUUGGGCUUUCUCAAUCGUUUGGAAUAGGGGAUAAUUUUAAACAAAUUCUCCAAACCACGGUUCAACAAAACAAUGUAAUACACGGUAUUGUCGAAGAUUGCAAGAGUAAAGGCUUCGUGGACGAUAAAUCUUCGACAAUUCUCAUUAAUGAAUUUGUGUCAAAACUUAUAGAGAUAAAGGGUGCUGGACACCGAGUAUUUUGAUCGGCAUCUGUUUGCCUAUAAAAUUAAGGAGACGGAGAAUAUUUUUAAAGUAGUCAAUGUAAAUAAUCUAAUUACUCAUGAUGCCAUGGAGUUGAAGCAUAAUUGCAAUGUUGCUGGAAAUUUCGUGAUUUCGAGACAUUACUUGUAGUAUUUAGAUAAGUGGUGUAGUAUUAAGAAUUUAGCUGUAAAUUUUGUCAAAUAACAUGUUAAUUAAUAUUUGGGUGCAUAUUUAUUUAU